AGUUUGAUCAUGGCUCGAGGACGAACGCUGGCGGCGUGCUUAACACAUGCAAGUCGAACGGUAAGGCCCUUCGGGGUACACGAGUGGCGAACGGGUGAGUAACACGUGGGUGAUCUGCCCUGCACUUCGGGAUAAGCCUGGGAAACUGGGUCUAAUACCGGAUAGGACCAUGGACUUCACGGUUUGUGGUGGAAAGCUUUUGCGGUGUGGGAUGGGCCCGCGGCCUAUCAGCUUGUUGGUGGGGUAAUGGCCUACCAAGGCGACGACGGGUAGCCGGCCUGAGAGGGUGUCCGGCCACACUGGGACUGAGAUACGGCCCAGACUCCUACGGGAAGCAGCAGUGGGGAAUAUUGCACAAUGGGCGCAAGCCUGAUGCAGCGACGCCGCGUGAGGGAUGACGGCCUUCGGGUUGUAAACCUCUUUCAAUAGGGACGAAGCGCAAGUGACGGUACCUAUAGAAGAAGCACCGGCCAACUACGUG
rnacentral:rRNA from 1 species